GCGGUUCCUGGCGCCUGUGCAGAGAGGGGCAGCCUCCCGUGCUGACGACCCUGGAAACAGGAUAGACGGGCGGGUGACCCGUGGCCCCGUACCCACGAGUUUGGGUCCCCUGAGGCAUCUCUCCAGGCCUCUGCCUGGCGAGAUGGAAAGAAAGUAUCAAGGAGUGAGCUGAAGCCACUGCCCUUGAGAACCCUCUCGAGGAGUCUGGCCUCAUGAAGAUGCCAGAAUAAGUGGCAGUAAGAAGAAAAAGAGCAAAGAUAAGAAGAGAAAAAGAGAAGAUGAAGAAACCCAGCUUGAUACGUUGGAAUCUGGUGAACAGUAACAAACUUUGGUGAAAUUUCAGGAACCAUAGCCAUUGAAAUGGAUGAGGGAACCUAUAUACAUGCACUCGACAAUGGUCUUUUUACCCUGGGAGCUCCACACAAAGAAG
rnacentral:lncRNA from 1 species